UACGGAGGGGGCUAGCGUUGUUCGGAAUUACUGGGCGUAAAGCGCACGUAGGCGGCUUGGUAAGUUAGAGGUGAAAGCCUGGAGCUCAACUCCAGAAUUGCCUUUAAGACUGCCGAGCUAGCAGGUGAGAGAGGUGAGUGGAAUUCCGAGUGUAGAGGUGAAAUUCGUAGAUAUUCGGAAGAACACCAGUGGCGAAGGCGACUCACUGGACACAUAUUGACGCUGAGGUGCGAAAGCGUGGGGAGCAAACAGG
rnacentral:rRNA from 1 species